UACUAGUAGAUAAAUAAAAAGGGAAAGAUAUUGUUCUUGCUCACUUGAAUAUGAGAUUAGAAUGUUAUUUGGGUUAUUGUCUCUAUAGGUCAAUUUUAGAAAUCUCGCAACGGUGAAUAUAUGCAAUAAAUUGUUUUCUUUAUGAUAAAUAAAUUUAUUAAAUCAAGAGCUCUAUUGGUUGUUUUUAUGAUUUUUACCAAUCUUUAGUUU
rnacentral:lncRNA from 1 species